CAUGCGAGAGCACUUUUUCAAUGGGCUCCCCAAUGACAAGUCGACGACGCAUUCGUAUGUCAUCUAUAUCAACUUUCGAUGCCAUUUACUGUGCCUGCCAUGGUGACCACGUGUAACGGGGAAUCAGGGUUUGAUUCCGGAGAGGGAGCCUGAGAAAUGGCUACCACAUGCAAGGAAGGCAGCAG